AUUGAACGCUGGCGGCAGGCCUAGCACAUGCAAGUCGAGCGGAUGAGUGGAGCUUGCUCCAUGAUUCAGCGGCGGACGGGUGAGUAAUGCCUAGGAAUCUGCCUGGUAGUGGGGGACAACGUUUCGAAAGGAACGCUAAUACCGCAUACGUCCUACGGGAGAAAGGGGGGGAUCUUCGGACCUCACGCUAUCAGAUGAGCCUAGGUCGGAUUAGCUAGUUGGUGAGGUAAAGGCUCACCAAGGCGACGAUCCGUAACUGGUCUGAGAGGAUGCUCAGUCACACUGGAACUGAGACACGGUCCAGACUCCUACGGGAGGCAGCAGUGGGGAAUAUUGGACAAUGGGCGAAAGCCUGAUCCAGCCAUGCCGCGUGUGUGAAGAAGGUCUUCGGAUUGUAAAGCACUUUAAGUUGGGAGGAAGGGCAGUAAGUUAAUACCUUGCUGUUUUGACGUAACCAACAGAAUAAGCACCGGCUAACUUCGUGCCAGCAGCCGCCGUAAAAC
rnacentral:rRNA from 1 species